rnacentral:misc_RNA from 1 species
GAAAUGCGAUAAGUAAUGUGAAUUGCAGAAUUCAGUAGCCCGCAUCGAUGAAGAACGCAGCUUGCGCCUUUUGGUAUUCCGAAAGGCAUGCCUGUUUGAGUGUCAUGAAAUCUCAAUCCCCCCGGGUUUUCUGAACCCGAGGUGGACUUGGACAUGGGUGUCUGCCGUCUCGUACGGCUCGCCUUAAAUGACUCAGUGGGAUCUUCAGCAUCCGUGGCAGACGUAAUAAGUUUCGUCUCGUCCCUUGCUGUGAGGACCGCUCAUAACCUGCCAUCGCGCACCACUUUUGACUCUGACCUCAAAUCAGGUAGGACUACCCGCUGAACUUAA